rnacentral:misc_RNA from 1 species
AUUUUUUAAAUGUUUAUAUUAUUUGAAUAAAACAUUCAAAUAAUAUAAAAAAUAAUAUAUAUAUUGACAUGGAUUAAACAAAGAUAUAUAUUAUUCUAUGUUGUAUAAACAAAUUGGCAAAAUAGAGAUGGAAGAUAAAAAUAUGGUCAAAGUAAUAAGAGUCUAUGGUGAAUGCCUAGGAGCUUUAAGGCGAAGAAGGUCGUGGUAAGCUGCGAAAAGCUUGGGGGAGAAGCAAACAUUUAUUGAUCCCAAGAUUACCGAAUGGAGUAAUCCAGCUAGCAAGAUG